rnacentral:sRNA from 1 species
CGGAGGGAUAUUACCGAGUUAUACAACUCAUCAACCCUGUGAACAUACCUAAACGUUGCUUCGGCGGGAACAGACGGCCCCGUAACACGGGCCGCCCCCGCCAGAGGACCCCCUAACUCUGUUUCUAUAAUGUUUCUUCUGAGUAAAACAAGCAAAUAAAUUAAAACUUUCAACAACGGAUCUCUUGGCUCUGGCAUCGAUGAAGAACGCAGCGAAAUGCGAUAAGUAAUGUGAAUUGCAGAAUUCAGUGAAUCAUCGAAUCUUUGAACGCACAUUGCGCCCGCCAGUAUUCUGGCGGGCAUGCCUGUUCGAGCGUCAUUACAACCCUCAGGCCCCCGGGCCUGGCGUUGGGGAUCGGCGGAGCCCCCUGCGGGCACACGCCGUCCCCCAAAUACAGUGGCGGUCCCGCCGCAGCUUCCAUUGCGUAGUAGCUAACACCUCGCAACUGGAGAGCGGCGCGGCCACGCCGUAAAACCCCCAACUUCUGAACGUUGACCUCGAAUCAGGUAGGAAUACCCGCUGAACUUAAGCAUAU